CUUUUAUUGAAUAUAUUUGUUUUAUUUUCAAGUUAAUUCCCUGGAUGUUGCGUUGGGAUGUCUUCUGGCUGCUUGCUUAGUUGCUGACAUAUGUACAUUUGUUAUGUAAUUACAGUUAAUUUCAUACACCAUAUGUGUUUUGUUUAUUUAAAUUUUUAUGUUUAUGUUUUAAAUUUUGUUUUGUUUUCAGGUUUGCUGCAGAUUUGGUAAGCGUUUUGAGUUGUAUUUUGGAUAAAUUUAAUUUUAUUUUAUUUGCAGGUUUUCAUUUUGUAGGUUUGGUGGCAAAUUGUCGGCAUUCCAGUUAAGUGAUUUUUUGUUUUUAUAUUUGUUGGCUUUUAAUGAAUAUAGUUAUUUUAUUUUCAAGUUGAUUCACUGGAUGUUGCGUUGGGAUGACUUCUGGCUGCUUACUUAGUUGCUGACAUACAUAUGUAAAUUUAUUAUGUACAUACAGCUAAUUUCGUACACCAAUAUGUGUUUUAUUUAUUUAAUUGGCAGGUUUUGUCUUCAGCUUUGUAAUAAUUUGUAUGUAAUUUUGUGUAGCUUAUGUUGUUAUAUUUGUUGGCUCUUUUUUUUUUUUAGGACUUUGGUUGUUUUAGUUUCAGGUUUGCGGCAGAUUUGGUAAGUGUUUUAAAUUGUAUUUUGGCUGAAUUUAAUUUUGUUUUAUUUACAGGUUUGGUAAUAGAGUGUCAUCAAUCAAGUUAGGUAAUUUAUGUUGUUAUAUUUGUUGACUUUUAAUGAGUAUAGUGUUUUAUUUUCAGGUUUAAAGAAAAUUGGUGUGAAAAAGAAAAAGUGAUUUCAAUUGUUUUUACGCCAAUUGUAAUUUUAUUUUAUCUGCAGUUUUAUUUUUUGCUGGUUUGGUGGUAAGGUGUCACAUACAAUGGCUGUUGCGCUUGUUGUCUACAACUUGUUUGCGUAUUUACUGACAUUGAUUGUUAUGUAAAUAGUUAUUUUGUACGUAUGUAUGUAUGUAUGUAUGUAUGAUAGAUUU